rnacentral:rRNA from 1 species
GCAAGUCGAGCGGUAACAGAACUAGCUUGCUACCAGGCGACGAGUGGCGGACGGGUGAGUAAUACAUAGGAAUCUGCCUUAUAGUGGGGGACAACCUGGGGAAACCCAGGCUAAUACCGCAUACGCCCUUCGGGGGAAAGGCUUCGGCCGCUAUUAGAUGAGCCUAUGUCUGAUUAGCUUGUUGGUGGGGUAAUGGCCUACCAAGGCGACGAUCAGUAGCUGGUCUGAGAGGACGAUC